UGCAAGUCGAACGGUGACCCAGGGCUUGCCCUGGUGAUCAGUGGCGAACGGGUGAGUAACACGUGGGCAACCUGCCCCUGACUUCGGGAUAACUCCUCGAAAGAGGAGCUAAUACCGGAUACGACCGCUUCGGACAUCCGAUGGUGGUGGAAAGUUUUUCGGCAGGGAUGGGCCCGCGGCCUAUCAGCUAGUUGGUGGGGGUAAUGGGCCUACCAAGGCGACGACGGGUAGCCGGCCUGAGAGGGCGACCGGCCACACUGGGACUGAGACACGGCCCAGACUCCUACGGGAGGCAGCAGUGGGGAAUAUUGCGCAAUGGGCGAAAGCCUGACGCAGCGACGCCGCGUGAGGGAUGAAGGCCUUCGGGUUGUAAACCUCUUUCAGCAGGGACGAAGCGAAAGUGACGGUACCUGCAGAAGAAGCACCGGCUAACUACGUG
rnacentral:rRNA from 1 species